rnacentral:rRNA from 1 species
GGAGGGUGCAAGCGUUGUUCGGAAUUACUGGGCGUAAAGCGCGUGUAGGCGGCUUCUUAUGUCCGGUGUGAAAGCCCUCGGCCCAACCGAGGAAGUGCGCCGGAAACUGAGAAGCUUGAGUACGAGAGAGGAGGACGGAAUUCCCAGUGUAGAGGUGAAAUUCGUAGAUAUUGGGAAGAACACCGGUGGCGAAAGCGGUUCUCUGGAUCGAUACUGACGCUGAGACGCGAAAGCGUGGGGAGCAAACAGGAUUAGAUACCCUGGUAGUCCACGCCGUAAACGAUGGAUGUUAGUUGUUGCGGGCUUAUAAACUCGCAGUGACGACGCUAACGCAUUGAAUAUCCCGCCUGGGAAGUACGGCCGCAAGGUUA